rnacentral:rRNA from 1 species
GACGAACGCUGGCGGCGUGCUUAACACAUGCAAGUCGAACGGAAAGGCCCUGCUUUUGUGGGGUGCUCGAGUGGCGAACGGGUGAGUAACACGUGAGUAACCUGCCCUUGACUUUGGGAUAACUUCGGGAAACUGGGGCUAAUACCGGAUAGGAGCUCCUGCUGCAUGGUGGGGGUUGGAAAGUUUCGGCGGUUGGGGAUGGACUCGCGGCUUAUCAGCUUGUUGGUGGGGUAGUGGCUUACCAAGGCUUUGACGGGUAGCCGGCCUGAGAGGGUGACCGGCCACAUUGGGACUGAGAUACGGCCCAGACUCCUACGGGAGGCAGCAGUGGGGAAUAUUGCACAAUGGGCGGAAGCCUGAUGCAGCAACGCCGCGUGCGGGAUGACGGCCUUCGGGUUGUAAACCGCUUUCGCCUGUGACGAAGCGUGAGUGACGGUAAUGGGUAAAGAAGCACCGGCUAACCACGUG